CCUGCCUCGGCCUCCCAAAGUGCUAGGAUUACAGGCAUGAGACACAACACCCAACCUAUGGUAUCUUAAUUGUGAUGAUGUUAUAUGGGUGGACACAUGUCAAAACAUCAAACUGUAUACUUUAUAUGCAGUGUAUCAUAUUUCAUUAUACCUCAAAGUAAAGCUGUUUAAAAAUCAUAGUACCAAUCACUGGAGAAGUUGUAGAACAGAUAACUGAUACACUACUAGUAGCAAUAUAAUUUGGUAGCAAUUUUAGAAAACAAUUUGGCAGUACCUAAUCUCAUUUCUAGGUAUAUUCUCCAUAAAAAUAUACAUAUGUAUGUACCAAAUUUUUUUUUUAUUUUUUCACAGAUAGUGUCUCACUUUGUCACUCAGGCUGGGGAGUACAGUGGCACAAUCAUAGCUCAUUGCAGUCUCAAACUCAUGAACUCAAAGUGAUCCUCCUGCCUCAGCCACUCAAGUAACUGGGACUAUAGGCUCAUGCCACUGCACCUGGCUAUUUUUUUUUUUAAUUUUUUGUAGAGACAGGAUCUCACUUGUUGGCCAGGCUGAUUUUGAACUCCUGGCUUCAACCAAUCCUCCUCCCUUGGCCUCCCAAAGUACUGGGAUUACAGGCAUGAGCCACCAUGUCCAACUGUAUCCACCAAAAUAUUUCUGAAAUGGCCCCAAAGCAUAAGCUAUCAAGAGCAGAAUGGAAACAUGGCACAUUCUUACUAUAGAAUACUAUGUGCCAAUAAAAAAGAAUUAAACAUUACUAUGCCCAAAAACAUGAAUGAAUCUCAGACACAUGUUAACAAAAAGAAGCCAGAUACAACAGAAUAUGUUCUAUAUCAUUCUAUUUAUAAACAGUUAAAACUAAUCUCUGUCAGUAUCUCAAAAUCACGGUUAACUUUGGAAGGUGAUAAUGACUAGGAAAGUACACAUGGUAAUCUGGACAGCAAGUAUAAUGCUCUGGAUGGUGGCUAUAGAGUUGGGUUCACUUUGUAAAGUUACAUUGACCUUUACACUUAAGAAUUUUCUAUUCCACCAUAUGUGUAUUAUACUUAAAUUUUUUAAGUUUAAAGAAUAAUUUCUGUUCAACAACAAAAAACUAUAUGCAAAAUUAAAGGACAAAUCCUAACAACACAGCCAACAAAGAAUUAUCACAUUAUAUAAAGAAUGCUUACAAAUCAGUAAUAAUUUUAAAAUCCAACCCAAUGGAGAAAAAAAUGACAAAGAAUAUAAACUGGCAAUUUACCCCAAAAUCUUCCAAUGACUUAAGCCUAGUCCCUAGAUCAUUCCUCUAUUUACACUCUCUCCUUGGUGAUCUCAUUUAGGUUUAUGGCUGCUAAACACCAUCUAUUCAUUGACUGACAUCCAGACCUCUCCCCUAUUUCAGAUUUGUAUAUCCAACUGCCUACCUGAAAUCUCCAAGUGGAUGUCUCACAGGCAGCUCAAACUUAACAAAUCCAAAUUUGACUAUAACUUUGUCUCAGACUUGCUCCUCCUCCAGCUGUCCACAGAUCUGAAGCAAAAAUAAAUACAAUAAAGUAAAAACAAAAGAUUACACGGGAGAGAGAGCAAGAAGAAAACGCAAAGGAGGCACAAGAAGGAGACAGAGAGAGAGGGUAUGAUGAUCUUUAUUAUGGAUGCGCAGUAGUGAAAAACAGGAAAUAAACGGUUCUCUAAAAACAUAUCAAUGGCAAAAUAUAAUACUCUCAUAAAAGGACAAGAACAAUAAUUAAAAAUGAAUAUCUUAAUACCA